CUCGUAGGCGGUUCGUCGCGUCCGGUGUGAAAGUCCAUCGCUUAACGGUGGAUCCGCGCCGGGUACGGGCGGGCUUGAGUGCGGUAGGGGAGACUGGAAUUCCCGGUGUAACGGUGGAAUGUGUAGAUAUCGGGAAGAACACCAAUGGCGAAGGCAGGUCUCUGGGCCGUCACUGACGCUGAGGAGCGAAAGCGUGGGGAGGCAAGCA
rnacentral:rRNA from 1 species